CGCUUCUGCGGAAGUGGACGACACUCUCAUUGGCUGCGGGUCGUCUGUCUGUAGGAGCGGGCCUUUUGGAGGAGACCGGAAGUGGAGCGAAUGAGAGGUGACCAGAAAUGGAAAGAAAAGUAAGCAGAAUUUGUUUUGCUUCUGAACCAGAUAUAAUUCAUUUUCUACAAAUUGCUUGGGAGAGAACGCUAGCAUCUGGUUUUGUUAUUACACUUACUGAUGGUCAGUCAGCAUGGACCGGAACAGUUUCCGAAUCAGAGAUUUCUCAGGAAGCUGAUGACAUGGCAAUGGAAAAAGAGAAAUAUGUUGAUGAACUUAGGAAAGUAUUGAUAUCAGGAGGAGGACCAGCUGAUGCAUACAAGUUUGAUUUUUCUAAAGAGUCUUGUCAUUUCUCCUUUGAGAAAAACCUGAAAGAUGUUUCAUUUAGACUUGGUUCCUUCAAUCUAGAGAAAGUUGCAAGUCCAGCUGAGGUCAUUAGGAAACUUAUUUGUGAUUGCCUGGACACCAUUUCGGAAAACCAAGCCAAAAAUGAGCACCUGCAGAAGGAAAAUGAAAGGCUUCUGAGAGAUUGGAAUGAUAUUCAAGGACGAUUUGAAAAAUGUGUGAGUGCUAAGGAAGCUUUGGAGACUGAUCUUUAUAAGCGGUUUAUUCUAGUGCUGAAUGAGAAGAAAGCAAAGAUCAGAAGCUUGCAUAAAUUGUUAAAUGAAGUUCAAGAACCAGAAAGGAACAUUGAGCGUGAAAGGGAAGCUACAACAUGUUCUGAAAUGACCGCUGAUAGAGAUGCAGUCUACGAUGAAAGUACUGAUGAAGAAAGUGAGAACCUGCCUGAUCCCUCUGUGUUAGCUCCAGCUACUUCUAGAGAUGAUUCCAUCAUUUCAAGUCCUGAUGUCACUGAUAUUGCACCAAGCAGAAAGAGGAGGCAGCGGAUGCAAAAAAAUCUUGGAACAGAACCUAAAAUGGCUUCUCAGGUGACUCAGCCUCAAGAAAAGGAAAAGCUUGAUCCUCCACAACCUGAGAAGUUGAAAAAGGAGCACAGCUCAACUGAAAACAUGUCUUUAGAAACUCUAAGAAACAGUAGUUCAGAAGACCUCUUUGAUGAGAUUUAACUGUCUCAAAAGAGCUACCAUUCCAUUCUUGGCCCAUAAUUCACAAACUAGAGAAAUGUGCCCAUCAAGAACAAACUCACUACUAGUUGCGCUCAGAAAUGUUACCCCAGAGUGCCAAGGACCCAGUGCUUCCUCUCGAUUGGAAACUGUUUCUGGCCGCAUGUAUGUGUUUUUCACCCUUCAGAGGGGAUAUUUGCUCCAUUGUGUCCAGGAUCAGCCAGACCGGGGACUUGAAAUGUGAACCUGUUUUCUGAACGUACCUGAAGGGGAAAAUCUGCCUUGGAGAAAUCAAGCUGAUAUUCAGGGGUGUCACUUCAUUUUAGUUAUUUGACAGCCUGAAGAAGUGUUUAAUUUUCUAAAUAACGUUACAAGCCAAACUAAAGGGAAAACAUGUGGUAUAAAGCUUUUCAACAUUGUCCGUCUUCUGAAGGGUGAAGUCUUCUUGAGAAAGUACCUUUGCCCAAUAAUACUGCUCCUCGGCCAAGAGUUGUAAUGUCCAUGGACAUUAUAAGGAACUAUAAAUGUUAGAAGGCUAGAGGAAUACAUUUGGCAAGAUAAAGGAAAAUAUCUCAGGAUGUAAGUAGUCUCUGACCCUUAAUUUUUCUUCAUGUUUUAUCAUGUAAAGAUGGCAUUACUUAUAGUGACUGUUAAUGUAUUAACAUUUCCUUGAAAAUGGAUAUUAAUCUGCUAUUAGGUUUCCUUUGUAGGAAUGUUUUACUUAGCUGUAUGAUGAAGGGAGAGCAGGGUAAUAGAGAGAUAAUAAGCUUUUCAGAUGGGCGGAUCUACCACUUAGAAAGUACCCUUGGGCAAGACAUAUAAACUCUUCGGAACUCAACUAGAUUUACUCAAAUUUAAGAAUGAGAACAAUAGUAUAUACUUCGAAAUGUUUCAGAGAAAGGUCUAUCCUAAUGCCUGCAGUAUAAAUUCCAAUAAAGAUUCUUUAAUUUCAUUUUUCACCCUUUUUGAAUGAAGUGAUCUUGAUUAUAAAGUUGUUCUGAGGAGCUCUGAAAAGACCACUGUACCCAGUGUGAGGAAUUGUGUUGUGGUAACAGCUCUGCUUUUAACUGGGUGAUUUUAGGAAAAGUCACUUUCUGAGGUUUAGUUUGCUUAUCUGUUGAAUCUAAAGGUUGAAAUCCGAUUCUGUUCUGUGACUCUGUUAUUCUAAAUAUUUAAUGAAAUAGAACUUCAAUGUUAAGAAUAGUAGUAUGAUAACUAUACUAAGAAUAAAUAAAUCAUUGUCAUUAUCAAACAAACAAAAAAUUGAUUCCUAAAUCCUAUAAUUAAUAGUUACAUUAUUUACUGUCAUGAGGUGAUAAAUAUAUAACUGAGAAGAAAUGGAUAACACACAUUUUGAGAACUGAAAUUCUAACAAAACUUCGACUUGUUUAUCACUUAAAAUGUAGCAUCAUGCAGAAUGCAUACAGUUUGCACAAGAAACUUUGGAAAGAAACAUGGUAGAUGUGCAUGUACAGAAGUCUAGGCUUCUACAAGUUUUAAAGUGUGAGUGUAAGGCCCACCUACUCAAAGAAAUUCAGAGGGAAACUCAACUUUUUUCUUUAAUCCUCACUGUUGUGUUUGAUAUAAUUUUCUAAGUAGAGACAUCAGUGAGAAAAAUUAUGAGGGUGCUUCCAUGUUUGUGUAGAAAGAAACGUUUGCUAUCCAUUCCAGUGUCCCCAGUGUUAAACUGAUAGGCACCUUGGACUUAUUUUCUUCCCAUUGUAUAAACUCAUACUUGACUUCAAAGAAAAGGAAAAUACAAAGUCCCUCUUUUCUAAGGGGCAGAAAUCCUUUGUGCAACUGGUUGACCCUUGGCUCUCUAAGGUCCUAUAGGAAAUCUUUUGUAACACAAUGCAGAGGACUCUUGCUUGUGUUGAUGUUGUUUACAUAGUUGGUGGGCCUGGCUGAAAACAAAAAUCACAUAAACUCAUGAAAGAUUAGGGUCCCAUUUCCUGACCACAAGGAAGGGGAUUGGUACAUCCAAGCAGUCUGUUACUCAGAAAAAUCAUUAAAUAUUCUACCAUGAGGGACACUUUGAAAAAUUGAGAGAAAGGAAGAAGGAAGAAAGCAGAAUCGAGACUUAUGUACAUUUGUGGCAGAGUAAGAGUUUAAAUCCAACAAGGGAUUUGCUUUGGGGAAUUUCCUGUCCAGCCCUUUAUUACCAGGGUCUUUGUAAAUUGUGCAGUGACGUUGGGCUCCCCUUUGGGCAGUUCCCGGGAAAGGCAGUUCUUACACUUUUCCUCUAGGUCUUAGAAGGAUCUCAUUUUCUCAAUGUCUCUUUCAGGUUGGCAGAAGGCGCAAGAAUGACACUUCCCUCAGAUGGGACAGGCAGGCUCUGUGGCCGCGUAAACACGCUGUAACCGAGUUCUCUGCUGAUUUUUACAGAGUUUCAUUAGCUCCCAAGAAGAACUGAGGGUGCUCAAUUGUCUAGUGCUGGCCUGCCCCACAAGAGCCUGGGGGCUCCUUUCCCCUAACCCAGAACUGGCAGCGCAGGGGGCGGAGAAGUGGGGGUG